GUGUAUGGAACCUGCACUUUGAACACUGCGAUGUUGCCACAAGUUAGUAGUUCUUUCCCUGAUAUCUCAGCCUUGGACCAUAGAAUUUAUCACUAUUAUAGUAUUUACUUUUUCCUCUAGAUUAUAUAGAUUUGUGUUGUUUCCGGUCAGAUUCUCUGGUGGGUCCUGAUGCUGUCUAUUUUAAAAAUGUAAUGGCAGUCUUUUCCCCAUUUUUAAUUUCAUUUAUAUGAGUACAUUAUUUUAGUAUUUAGCAUAGAUAUUAACUUUUUUGCCAUAUACCUUUAACCACAUUUUGUCGCAUCCUGGUUCACUUGUGUCCAUAUGAUGAAAUAGAUGUAUUGGCAAUUUUCUAUACGUAAUUUUAUUUUAUUUAUGUAGAGUGUGUUUCUACUAGACCAAUGAACAAAAAACAUGCAGGUGUUUGUAUAACUGCGAUGAACUAAUUGGUGGACAUUGCCUUGUGUGGAUGGACCAUUGGUAAUGGUUAUGCGAGUUGAACACUGUUUACAUCUUGCAACUGAUUUUUGCACGACAGGUUAUGGAAGAUGAAGUGGG
rnacentral:misc_RNA from 1 species